UGGGGGAUAUUGCACAAUGGGCGAAAGCCUGAUGCAGCGACGCCGCGUGGGGGAUGAAGGCUUUCGGGUUGUAAACCUCUUUCGCUAUCGAACAAGGCCCGCUUAGGGUGGGUUGAGGGUAGGUGGAGAAGAAGCGCCGGCUAACUACGUGCCAGCAGCCGCGGUAAUACGUAGGGCGCGAGCGUUGUCCGGAAUUAUUGGGCGUAAAGGGCUUGUAGGCGGCUUGUUGCGCCUGCUGUGAAAACGCGGGGCUUAACUUCGCGCGUGCAGUGGGUACGGGCAGGCUUGAGUGUGGUAGGGGUGACUGGAAUUCCAGGUGUAGCGGUGGAAUGCGCAGAUAUCUGGAGGAACACCGAUGGCGAAGGCAGGUCACUGGGCCAUUACUGACGCUGAGGAGCGAAAGCAUGGGUAGCGAACAGA
rnacentral:rRNA from 1 species